CCUACGGGGGGCUGCAGUGGGGAAUCUUGCGCAAUGGGCGAAAGCCUGACGCAGCCAUGCCGCGUGAAUGAUGAAGGUCUUAGGAUUGUAAAAUUCUUUCACCGGGGACGAUAAUGACGGUACCCGGAGAAGAAGCCCCGGCUAACUUCGUGCCAGCAGCCGCGGUAAUACGAGGGGGGCUAGCGUUGCUCGGAAUUACUGGGCGUAAAGGGCGCGUAGGCGGACAGUUUAGUCAGAGGUGAAAGCCCAGGGCUCAACCUUGGAAUUGCCUUUGAUACUGGCUGUCUUGAGUACGGGAGAGGUGAGUGGAACUCCGAGUGUAGAGGUGAAAUUCGUAGAUAUUCGGAAGAACACCAGUGGCGAAGGCGACUCACUGGCCCGUUACUGACGCUGAGGCGCGAAAGCGUGGGGAGCAAACAGGAUUAGAUACCCGAGUAGUC
rnacentral:rRNA from 1 species